GCGUGUGUUGUUUUCAACUCAACCUUGCUCUUCCUGAUUUUGUAACCGUUGACACACACUGCACACUCAUAGGAUCAUGGCAUUCUCACGGUAAAAGACCAAAAAGUUGUGUAGAAAUGUCUUCGGGUGAUAACGCAUAUUUGUUCACUGUUCAUGUCGAUCCAUCCUAUUAUUUUAUCCCCGUAUGCAUACUACUCAUCUCCUCUUAAUACCAAUUUUCUUAAUUUGUUCCGACUUUUUGUUUGCUAUAUGCAGCUAGCUUUGGCAGGUUUGUUAGGCUAAUAUAAGGUAGGGAGCUUUGCUACAUGAUAAUACACAGAUGAUAUAUACUGGAGGAUGUUUUGCAAUUAGCAAGGUACUUUGUUUACGAGCUGAUUGUCAACUUUGUUAAAAAGAUACAUGGUUGUUGUAUCCUAUCCGACAAUAUAAAACUUUUGUCAUGAUAUUUCCUUGUGCAGUUUCAAGGUCACAUGGAUGCUGAUGGCUCUCAGGUGUAUGUGAUAUUUGUUGCUGGGUAUUGUUGCAGUUCUUCCUGUUAUGUCAAUGUAUAUUGCUUCAGUUUCCAUAUUGAGAUUGAUAUGGAACUGUCUCAUCUUCCAGCGUGAACAUUAUAUAUUUUCUCAAUUAUUAGUCUCAAAAUACUACUUUUCAUACUUUUCUACAUCUGAAGUAUUUAUG
rnacentral:lncRNA from 1 species